rnacentral:rRNA from 1 species
AUGCACGCUGGCGGCGUGCCUAAUCCCUGCCAGUCGAGCGAACAGACGAGGAGCUUGCUCCUCUGAUGUUAGCGGCGGACGGGUGAGUAACACGUGGAUAACCUACCUAUAAGACUGGGAUAACUUCGGGAAACCGGAGCUAAUACCGGAUAAUAUAUUGAACCGCAUGGUUCAAUAGUGAAAGACGGUUUUGCUGUCACUUAUAGAUGGAUCCGCGCCGCAUUAGCUAGUUGGUAAGGUAACGGCUUACCAAGGCAACGAUGCGUAGCCGACCUGAGAGGGUGAUCGGCCACACUGGAACUGAGGCACGGUCCAGACUCCUACGGGAGGCAGCAGUAGGGAAUCUUCCGCAAUGGGCGAAAGCCUGACGGAGCAACGCCGCGUGAGUGAUGAAGGUCUUCGGAUCGUAAAACUCUGUUAUUAGGGAAGAACAAAUGUGUAAGUAACUAUGCACGUCUUGACGGUACCUAAUCAGAAAGCCACGGCUAACUACGUG